rnacentral:rRNA from 1 species
AUACGGAGGAUGCAAGCGUUAUCCGGAUUUAUUGGGUUUAAAGGGUGCGUAGGCGGUUUGCUAAGCGGGAGGUGAAAUGCCGGCGCUCAACGUCGGAAGUGCCUCCCGAACUGGUGGACUUGAAUGACUCUGCCGUGGGAGGAAUGUGUAGUGUAGCGGUGAAAUGCUUAGAGAUUACACAGAACACCGAUUGCGAAGGCAUCUCACGAAGGGUUGAUUGACGCUGAGGCACGAAAGCGUGGGGAUCAAACAGGAUUAGAUACCCUGGUAGUCCACGCAGUAAACGAUAAUGGCUAACCGCUGGGCUUAUCAGUUCAGUGGCCAAGCGAAAGCGAUAAGCCAUCCACCUGGGGAGUACGACCGCAAGGUUGAAACUCAAAUGAAUUGACGGGG